GAGCGGUAACAGGUGUAGCAAUACAUGCUGACGAGCGGCGAACGGGUGAGUAAUGCUUCGGAAUCUGCCCAAUGGUGGGGAAUAACCAGCCGAAAGGUUGGCUAAUACCGCAUAAGUCCUACGGGGGAAAGCAGGGGAUCGCAAGACCUUGCGCCGAUGGAUGAGCCGAAGUCGGAUUAGCUAGUUGGUAGGGUAACGGCCUACCAAGGCGACGAUCCGUAGCUGGUCUGAGAGGACGACCAGCCACACUGGGACUGAGACACGGCCCAGACUCCUACGGGAGGCAGCAGUGGGGAAUCUUGGACAAUGGGGGAAACCCUGAUCCAGCCAUGCCGCGUGAGUGAUGAAGGCCCUAGGGUUGUAAAACUCUUUCGGCGGGGACGAUAAUGACGGUACCCGCAGAAGAAGCUCCGGCUAACUUCGUG
rnacentral:rRNA from 1 species